rnacentral:misc_RNA from 1 species
UCGCAACUUUGGAGGUCCACCAGGCCUUUGUGAGAGGCGCUGGAUGAGGCAAGGCCAUUGAAAACCAUAGAGAAUGCCAAAAUCAAUAAUGUGGAGCCUAGUUGCUUUCUGUGCUAGUUUGAAAAUUGUCUGAUUAGCAAAGAAAUUUGACAUUCGCUUGAAUGGGCAUGCCUUAACAUACACCUGGUAAGCUUUUAAGAUAUCAGAAAC